rnacentral:lncRNA from 1 species
GUUGAAACAAGUCUCUGUGGAUUUAUUUUUUGUAUUUUGUAUUUGGGUGCUUUGCACUUCUACUUUUCUCCAUGGCAUAUAUAAUUUUUUGAAUUCCCUUGAUAGGAAACCAAGGUUCAUCAUGUGUAUCCCAGCUGUAUUUUGUCCCAGUUGAGAUUCUGAAGCUCACAGGGAGUGUGUGUGAAGAUUUCCCACAAGGAGCAUUUCUG